rnacentral:rRNA from 1 species
AUACGGAGGAUGCGAGCGUUAUCCGGAUUUAUUGGGUUUAAAGGGAGCGUAGGUGGGAUAUUAAGUCAGCUGUGAAAGUUUGGGGCUCAACCUUAAAAUUGCAGUUGAUACUGGUUUCCUUGAGUACGGUACAGGUGGGCGGAAUUCGUGGUGUAGCGGUGAAAUGCUUAGAUAUCACGAAGAACUCCGAUCGCGAAGGCAGCUCACCGGGCCGGAACUGACACUGAUGCUCGAAAGUGCGGGUAUCAAACAGGAUUAGAUACCCUGGUAGUCCGCACAGUAAACGAUGAAUACUCGCUGUUUGCGAUACACGGUAAGCGGCCAAGCGAAAGCGUUAAGUAUUCCACCUGGGGAGUACGCCGGCAACGGUGAAACUUAAAUGAAUUGGCGGGG